rnacentral:sRNA from 1 species
AGAAAAAACAAGGGGUUCCGUGUUGCCAUUGGCACUCUGUUGCAUCCAACCCGCCGCCCAGCAAUGACUCAGGAUAAGAUGACUGUUCGGUUCUCAUUUUGACUCUCGCUUUGCGGUCAUGGCAGAGAGUACGAUGUUACUAACUACAUACAGACUAGCGCGUACUUGCACUUUCUCUUUUGAAGAACAUCUAUAAAAAGCUCCCAAUGCAAAAGGAGAGUGUCAGUCUGAUACCAGUAUAUAUUUAAAUUUUCAACCAACAGAAGAAGGAGAGCACUGUCGCCAUGGCGCUGGACGUCUGUACGGGACAAGAGCUUCUGAAGCGACCGUUAUACGUAUUCGAUCUCCCAGCACAGCUACUUGCUUCCCUAUCACUAAAUGCUACUGGCGCGCAAUCUCCCGUUCCCCCAAAUUUAGACGACGGCCAUAAAACGCUAGACCAAGCGGAGCGGUCAGAUGGAACGACGGGCGUUACGACAUGUUCAUUAUGCCAUGUAUCCUUCCAGGACGUCCAUGAACAGAGGGACCAUGUAAAGUCAGACCACCACAGAUACAACUUGAAAUCGCGAUUGCGAGGAACGCCCGUGUUAAAUGAGGUCGAAUUCAAUAAGGCGAUUGGAGAGUUGGAUGAAUCGAUAUCCGGGUCUGAGUCGUCAUCGGACGAAGAAGAGGAGGUAGAGGAAGGACAAAAACCACCUGAUACCACGCUUACGGCGCUACUUAAGAAACAGGCCAAAAUAUCAUCUACGGCAGAAGCGGAGGAGAUAAUAGCGAAACAAACAAGAAACCCUGGGAAGCAUCCGUUGCUAUGGUUUUCAAGCUCUUUGCUUCCACAAGCAACCUCCUUGGGCAUCUAUCGAGCGCUUUUCACCAACACAGAGCAAGAAGAAACCGACCAUUUAUUAGAAUCUCUGAGGAAUAAGCAAUACAAGGCAUCAUCGCUGUAUCAGCCAAACAAAAUCUCCCAUGCCAGUGAUACAACCAGCAAACUCCAACAGCCCAGUCCCUACGUGUUCCUGUGUAUGAUCGGCGGCGGGCAUUUUGCGGCGAUGAUAGUGGCCUUAUCGCCAGAGAUAAUAAAGAAACCCGGUGGAAUUGAGGAGCGGCAGGCAAGGGUACUCGCUCAUAAAACAUUUCAUCGAUACACAACAAGGCGGAAACAGGGUGGCUCCCAAUCCGCCGCUGAUGCGGCACAUGGAGCUGCACAUUCCGCAGGUGCGUCGAUCCGAAGAUACAACGAGGCUGCAUUGCAAACUGAAAUCAGACAGUUGCUGGGAAGCUGGAAGGAAAUGAUCGACCAAGCACAACUGCUCUUCGUAAGGGCGACGGGAAACAUGAAUCGGAG